CCCCCCCGCUCCUGGGUGCUGCGCCCGAGCGCCGGGCCUCAGGUCCACCUUAUGACCUCCCUUUUCGUGCUUUCUACUGUCCCCCCUUUCCAGAUUAGAUGGCCUAGACCCUUCAGUGCUCCUCGUGGGACUUGGUUUCAGAAUUGGCUAUCGAAAAUAUCCAACCUGAUGUGAAGAUGAUUUUGAAGACAAAAUUUUUGACAUCGAAUUCACAAGAGAGGUGACAAUCAACUCUGAUAUAUAGCCAAUUCUUAAG
rnacentral:lncRNA from 1 species